UACGUAGGGUGCAAGCGUUAUUCGGAAUUACUGGGCGUAAAGCGUGCGCAGGCGGCUUUGCAAGACAGAUGUGAAAUCCCCGGGCUUAACCUGGGAACUGCAUUUGUGACUGCAUGGCUGGAGUGCGGCAGAGGGGGAUGGAAUUCCGCGUGUAGCAGUGAAAUGCGUAGAUAUGCGGAGGAACACCGAUGGCGAAGGCAGUCCCCUGGGCCUGCACUGACGCUCAUGCACGAAAGCGUGGGGAGCAAACAGG
rnacentral:rRNA from 1 species